rnacentral:rRNA from 1 species
CCCCACCCCCACUUGUGCCCCUCUCCUUCGCUCCUGUCCUUCCCCGCCGCUUCUGUCCUCGCCCGCGCGCCGCCGCCGCGCUCCCCCGUCCCCGACCUCGCGCUUCCCGGCGCCUCCUCCCCACACCGAGGUUGCUCCGCCUCUUCUUCCUAUCCGGCUUGAACCGCGGUGCACGGCCUCUCACGCUCGCUCGCGGCCCUCAGCCUGGCUAGGGUUUCGGGCUGGGCAGCGCCUUCGCCGCCGGCGCGGCUCCGGUGGACUCCGUCAGUUGGAUCAGGUGAGUGGAUUGGGAGAGGAAAGCGACCUGGCCGCUGAUUCCUGUCGCCUUGGUCGCCGGGAGGAGGCCUCAUCGAGCUCGUUGCAUUGCCAUGCCUGGCGGAGUGGAGACUGUCACUUGCGUAGCUGCUUCAUCCUUUUCGCAUCCUUCCAUGGGGCUCUCUGUCUCACAUGUCUCGCUGUACUCUUGGGAGUUGGACUGGCUAUGAGGAUCUGUUAACUGAACAGAGGCUAGAACUGCAGAUUCAUCAGAAGGAAAAAUGGGAAGUGGUGGACCUCGGUAGAUGAUUGUGAGGAAACUUGCUGGUGCUCGAGGUUGUCUCAUUGCUUUCCUUGCAGGUGAUUCUUUCCUCUUGCCUGGCCUUCUUGCCGCGGUUUGGAAGCAGCGUCGCCAGGGUCCGCCUCGGCCAUGGCGAGGCAACUACGAUCCACGGGUCAUCAGCACGGUGUGUCGAGGUACUCCCUCGCGACGCAGCACACGUUGGGUCGCACCAAGCUCAGGCCACCCGUAGGCCAAGCUCCUUCGACACAGGUCUAUCUUUCUCUUUCCUUAAUAUUCAUCUUCUAGACAAAUUUUAUCCUUUGAAUUACUGCAAUACAUUAAGUUGGCACGAACAAUUAUAUUUAAAGAUAUACUAUCCGAGGCGUGAAAAAGAAGAUGGUGUAGGUUGAUGGUCUAGCUGUUUUAUAAUCCCUUUUAUUGAGAUCAGAUGAAGUUUAGUCUGGUCUUGCUCUGAAUUUCUCUGCAUUGUUUGGUAUCCAAUUUAGAGUUAGGUUUCAGAUAGCAGAGUAAUUGAUGAGCGGCAUACAUGAGCACAUACGGUUCUUUGAGCGCACACACACACACACACACACACACACACACACAUACACAGACAUGGACAUACACAUAUUUUUUAGGUACUCACAAACAUGAAGCACGUACUUUGUUGUUCAGUAAAAUAUGCGUUAGAAUUUUUCUUACCAGAUAAUUUAGCAGGCAUACAUGAACAAAUGAGAAAGGAGUGAUUCUAGCAUGAGAAGAUGAGGGAUGACAAAUGCCUGCUCGUCGUGAAGCAUAUCAGCAUGUGGAUUAAUAAUAGAAGGGGAAGGAAACUUGCUUCUCUGAGUUUUUAUUAUAGUUUAAAAGGGCAAAUUGUCGACAUUCUAAAUGUUAGGAAAGGAACCUACAGAGUCCUUGUGUAAGUAUGUGAUUCAGAUUAAUGCGCUGAAAGUAUUUAACUUGCUUACUAAUAAUCCACACUCGAAUGUAUUAAUACUCACAUAGAAGUAGACAUGCCAUGGUUAGCAGCAAAUGUAUAUGUCAAUUUAUGAUCUUUUUCACAUGAUAAUAACACUAUCAGCAUGCUAAUUAUAUGUUGUGGAAUUUAGAGUUAUCACCAUGUGACUGCGUGACUAUUGUCACUUUUUCCCGGUAGGCCAUGGUUAAAAGGCAAUACAAAAUAUUCGCUACUUUUACUGAUAUUUUGGGACCACAUCUAAAAGUAUCCCUAAACAUUAUGUUGUUUUACAGUAAUGAAAAUAACUUCUUAAGGCACUCAGUCACAAGUUAUGAUUAUACCAACCUAUAAUUUUUACUCAUUCUGUAAUAUGACCAUGUGAACACCCACUUUAUAUGAAGCCACAAAGACUAUGAAGUUGUGUUCCAUUACAGAUCUAUGUGAUUAGUUUUAGAUAGUUGUAUUAAUGAACAUGGUCGUAUUUUUCAAUUAGCCCUCCUAGCUAAAACCACCAACAAUUAAAUCAAUGUGAUGCUUCUACUGUUUUUUCAGGACUCGCAGUUAAACUAGAGGAAUUAGAUGCUGGUAUUGAUGUAUUACUUGGUGCACGUGCAUCACUUCUUUUACCUCAGUAGUAGAAAAACAGAGGCAAACACAAGCUCUUACUUAUUUUGUACACUUUUCCUAUUUUUAGUACAGUUUUUCCAAGAAGGAAGUAAUUUUUCCUCACACGGGCACAUGAAUUUCCACAAUCAUGUAAUCCAGACUUGCUAAUGGUUUGUAUUUUUCCAUUUUGUGGCAGAUGACUGUAUAAUUUUACCAUGUAAUUUCUUCUUCUCUUUUAUCAAUGGAGGAGGUAGUGAGAAGAUCCAAUUAUUCUGGAACUCCUCCACUUCUGCAAAAGUUUGGUGAUGUUUCCAAGGGGGCCGAUCAAUGGAUCUACUCACCUGAGGUAUAUCUCACAAUCUUAAUGUGAAGUUUAAUGUGUUUUAUAGCUAUCCAAAAUAUGUCGAUGAACUGGUUCUUAUUAUGUUACCCAAAUAGCUUGAGCUCGAGCUAAGACGUAUUUGUUCUUGCUUACUUUUUCUAUUGUUGAUAUUCAGGCCUAACCUCACCAAACUUUGCUACAUCUUACAUUGCGAGAAAUAGCAAAAUAAGUAUUGUAUUAAACAUUGGUAAGUCAGUCUACAGUUGUGUAACAUCCCAUCAUUCAGUUUGUCAGAUACUAAAUUUAUGUUACCCAAAAGUAUUUUUCUGAUUCCCCAUAAGCCUCAACUCAUCACGGAAGCAUGUUCAGAGUUCAUUUGCGAUUCACUUCACCACUUCCUUUUGCAACUCUAUCCAGCGGUGGCGUGUUGGUGGUUGGCCCCUUUCUUUUCUCUCCUUCUUUCACCGCUGUACCCAUCUUGCCGAUCUGAUGUGUACAUAUCAAUUUGAUGCAUCAUUGUCGUCCUCUUUGCAUGGCGGUGUGGUGUCUCUCAACACGUGAUGGAUUCACUCACACGGAGGAAGCUUUUCUUCGCUACUUCGGCGACAAAUACACAAGCUUUUGGGUCCAUGGUGCCACCAGUAAACUAGGUUGUCCCGUUCUAUUGAUUGAUCAGUUCAUCAUGCUUUUAAAAUUCUUGCACUAUGAUUUGCUGAUUGAUCGUAUCACUAUAUACACAUUUGGAGGAUCUGCUACUGCUAGAUCUCUCUCUUAUAUAUUUCACUACUUCCACUUGCCAUUGUUAUAUAGUUUAUACUGCUUUUUUGACUUGCUAAGGCUGAUACAUGUUCACCCGGUAUAAUAUAUGUAUUAAGAUGUUGACCAAAGAAAAUUUACACCUCUUCUGAUUUAUUAUAUAUAUGGCUUACUGAUGCUCUUAUGGUACUGAACAACACAUUCUCAUUUAGAGCACUGUUGAAAUCUUAGGUGCUAGCAAUCUAAUCGUAGGUUAACAUUUUAGACGAUGUGCUGUCGGGUCCAAAAACAAGAAGAGUAGUCCUCUACCAAGGUUAAAUCAUCUUCCAAAUUUUCUUUGGAAAGGAUCAAUCCUUUAGUUUUCUGAAUUUGAUGGUGUGUUUUUUUCUUUGGCAGACAGAGCAGGCAGGAGGAGAAAGUAGAGAGGGAGAUGGGGAAGGGAGAGGAGAUCUCGGCCUGCACGUUGUGUCUCCCACAAGCCACUGCAAAGGGAGAAUCGUAUACCCAACAUCCUUUUCAAAGUCUAUAGCUACUGCCUCCCCAAGCAAUGCCAACCUGCGGCAACAAGGUGAGUUACCCUGUUUAGGUGACACAUAUUUCAUUCUACUAUGUCCCUCUCCUUAAUCUUCCCAUUGUGAAUAGGUCAGAUGAUAAAAAUAGCUGAUUCGAUAAUAGAAAUAGCUGAUUUGAUGGUCUCUUGAAAGAAAGAUUUCCUAAUCCAGUCCUGAGAUGAAGUAAAUAGUGGGUUUCUGGGACAAAGCAAAGAGUAUCAUAAAUGGAAAAGGUUAAAAAUUAUGUCUAAUGAUCACACUAUUCUAUUACUCCCUCCAUUCCACAAUGUAGUUGUUGGAAAUAUGCCCUAGAGGCAAUAAUAAAU